rnacentral:rRNA from 1 species
UACAGGGGGGGCAAGCGUUGUUCGGAAUUACUGGGCGUAAAGGGCUCGUAGGUGGCCAACUAAGUCAGACGUGAAAUCCCUCAGCUUAACUGGGGAACUGCGUCUGAUACUGGAUGGCUUGAGUUUGGGAGAGGGAUGCGGAAUUCCAGGUGUAGCGGUGAAAUGCGUAGAUAUCUGGAGGAACACCGGUGGCGAAGGCGGCAUCCUGGACCAACACUGACACUGAGGAGCGAAAGCCAGGGUAGCAAACGGG